GAUCAGACCCUGUGGUGGAGAGUCAGUUUUUUGACAGCAGUCUUCAGUAUUAUUGAUGUGUCUCUCGGGUGAAGCUUGAACUUGGUGUUUUUUGGAGAACUGGGUUUACUGUUAUUCUGCUGUUUAUUGUGAGGAGCUGAUUGUAAUUUUGCAGUAAAGAUCGAACUGGUUAUAAAUCAUAAAGAAAGAAGAUAAUGAGACACCAGCCGAGUGCUGCAUCUGGAUUAUUUUAAAGGUGAGAGAGAAAACAGCAGGGCUUUAAUGUUCAGCACAAGAGGAACUGAGGACUCCAGAGCAGAGCGAGCAAGAGGGCUCAGCGGUAAGAGAAGAUCUUCAGAAGAGAGCGAGAGAGCUCAGCAGUAAGAGAAGAUCGUCAGAAGAGUGAGGGAGCUCAGCAGUAAAAGAAGAUCGUCAGAAGAGAGCAAGGGAGCUCAGUAGUAAGAGAAGAUCGUGGAAGAGAGCGAGAGAGCUCAGCAGUAAGAGAAGAUCGUGGAAGAGAGCGAGAGAGCUCAGCAGUAAGAGAUCUUCAGAAGAGAGAGAGAGAGCUCAGCAGUAAGAGAAGAUCGUCAGAAGAGAGUGAGGGAGCUCGGCAGUAAAAGAUCGCCAGAAGAGAGUGAGAGAGCUCAGCAGUAAGAGAAGAUCUUCAGAAGAGAGAGAGAGAGAGAGCUCAGCAGUAAGAGAAGAUUGUCAGAAGAGAGUGAGGGAGCUCAGCAGUAAGAGAAGAUCGUUAGAAGAGCGCGAGGGAGCUCAGCAGUAAAAGAAGAUCGUCAGAAGAGAGCGAGGGAACAGCAGUAAGAAAAGACCUUCAGAAGAGAGAGAGAGAACUCAGCAGUAAGAGAUCGUCAGAAGAGAGCGAGAGAGCUCAACAGUAAGAGAAGAUCAGCAGAAGAGAGUGAGAGGGCUCAGCGGUAAGAGAUCUUCAGGAGAGAGCGAGAGAGCUCAGCAGUUAGAGAAGAUCUUCAGAAGAGAGAGAUCAUCAGAAGAGAGCUAGGGCCUCGGCAGUAAGAGAAGAUCAGCAGAAGAGAGCGAGAGAGCUCAGCAGGAAGAGGAGAUCGUCGGGAGAGAGCUCAGCAGUAAGAGAUCGUCAGAAGAGAGCUAGGGCCUCAGCAGUAAGAGAAGAACAUCAGAAGAGAGCGAGAGAGCUCAACAGUAAGAGAAGAUCAGCAGAAGAGAUUGAGAGAGCUCAGCAGGAAGAGAAGAUCAUCAGAAGAGAACAAGAGGGCUCAGCAGUAAGAGAAGAUCAUCAGAAGAGAACAAGAGGGCUCAGCAGUAAGAGAAGAUCGUCAGAAGAGAGCGAGGGAGCUCAGCAGUAAGAGAAUAUCUUCAGAAGAGAGCGAGAGAGCUCUGCAGUAAGAGAAGAUCUUCAGUAAGUGAGCAAUAGAGCUCAGCAGAAAGAAAAGGUCGUCAGAAGAGAGAGAGAGAUCAGCAGUAAGAGAAGAUUGUCAGAAAAGAGCAAGAGAGCUAAGAAGUAAGAGAAGAUCGUCAGAAGAGAGCUGAGAAGUAAGAGAAAAUUGUCAGAAGAGAGAGAGAUAGAGCUCAGCAGAAAGAAAAGAUCACCAGAAGAGAGAGAGUGCGUUCGGCAGUAAGAGAAGAUCGCCAGAAGAGAGUGAGGGAGCUCGGCAGUAAGAGAAGAUUGUCAGAAGAAAGUGAGGGAGCUCAGCAGUAAGAGAAGAUUGUCAGAAGAGAGAGAUCACCAGAAGAGAGUGAGUGCGUUCAGCAGUAAGAGAAGACCGCCAGAAGAGAGCGAGGGAGCUGAGGAGUAAGAGAAUCGUCAGAAUGAAGUAAGGGAGCUCAGCAGUAAGAGAAGAUCGUCAGAAGAGAGCGAAAGAUCUCAGCAGUAAGAGAAGAUCGUCAUAAGAGAGCAAAAGAGUUCAGCAGUAAGAGAAGCUCGUCAGAAGUGAGAGGGAGAGCAGUAAGAGAUCUUCAUAAGAGAGCACGCGAACUCAGCCGUAAGAGAAGAACGUCAUAAGAGAGCGAGAGAGCUCAGCAAUAAGAGAAGAUCGUCAAAAAAGAGCAAGAGAGCUGAGAAGUAAGAGAAGAUUGUCUGAAGAGGGCGAGAGUGCUAGGCAUUAUGAGUAAAUCCUCAGAAGAGAGCGAGCGAGUUCAGCUGUAAGAGAAGAUCGUCAGAAGUGAGCGAGGGAGCUCGGCAGUAAGAGAAGAUUGUCAGAAGAAAGUGAGGGAAGUCAGCAGUAAGAGAAUAUCAGCAGGAGAGAGCAAGAGAGCUCAGCAAUAAGGGAAGAUCGUCGGGAAAGAGCUCAGCAGUAAAAGAAGAUCGUCAGAAGAAAGUGAGGGAGCUCAGCAGUAAGAGAAGAAUGUCAGAAGAGAGCGAGAGAGCUCAGCAGUAAAUAGAAUUGUCAGAAGAGAGCAAGAGGGCUCAGCAGUAAGAAAAGAUCGUCAGGGGAGAACGAGAGAGCUUGAAUUAAAAGAAGAUCGUCAGGGGAGAACGAGAGAGCUUGAAUUAAAAGAAGAUCGUCAGAAGAGAACAAGAGUGCUCAGCAGUAAAGAGAAGAUCAUCAAAAGAGAGCGAGAGCUCUCGGCAGUAAAGAGAAGAUCAUCAAAAGAGAGCGAGAGGGCUCGGAAGUAAAGAGAAGAUCGUCAGAAGAGAACGAGAGGGCUCGGAAUUAAGAGGUCACCAGAAGAGCAAAUGAGAGAGCUCAGCAGGAAGAGGAGAUCGUCGGAAGAGAGCGAGAGAGCUCAGCAGUAAGAGAUCAUCAGAAGAGAGAGAGAGUUCAGCAGUAAGAGAUCGUCAGAAGAGAGCUAAGGCCUCAGCAGUAAGAGAAGAUUAUCAGAAGAGAGUGAGAGAGCUCAGCAUUAAGAGAAAAUCCUCAGAUGAGAGCGAGGGAGCUCAGCAGUAAGAGAAGAUCAUCAGAAGAGAGGGAGAGAGCUCUGCAGUAAGAGAGCAAUAGAGCUCAGCAGAAAGAAAAGGUCGUCAGAAGAGCGAGGGAGCUCAGCAGUAAGAGAAUAUUGUCAGAAAAGAGCAAGAGAGCUGAGAAGUAAGAGAAGAUCGUCAGAAGAGAGCUGAGAAGUAAGAGAAGAUCGUCAGAAGAGAGAGAGUUAGAGCUCAGCAGAAAGAAAAGAUCACCAGAAGAGAGCGAGUGCAUUCGGCAGUAAGAGAAGAUUGUCAGAAGAGAGUGAGGGAACUCGGCAGUAAGAGAAGAUUGUCAGAAGAAAGUGAGGGAGCUCAGCAGUAAGAGAUUGUCAGAAGAAAGUGAGGGACUUCAGCAGAAUGAGGAGGGAGCUCAGCAGUAAUAGAAGAUUGUCGGAAGAGAGAGAGAGAGAGAGAGAGAGAGAGAGAGCUCAGCAGAAAGAAAAGAUCACCAGAAGAGAGCAAGUGUAUUCAGCAGUAAGAGAAGAUCGUCAGAAGAGAGCGAAAGAUCUCACCAGUAAGAGAAGAUAGUCAGAAGAGAGCGAAAGAGCUCAGCAGUAAGAGAAGAUCUUCAGAAGAGAGCGAAAGAGCUUAGCAGUAAGAGAAGAUCUUCAGAAGAGAGCGAGAGAGCCCAGCAGUAAGAGAAGAUCUUCAGAAGAGAGCGAGAGAGCCUAGCAGUAAGAGAAGAUUGAAAGAAGAGAGUGAGGUCG